rnacentral:rRNA from 1 species
UACAGAGGUCCCGAGCGUUGUUCGGAUUCACUGGGCGUAAAGGGCGCGUAGGUGGCUGGGAAAGUUUGAUGUGAAAGCUCAGGGCUUAACCCUGAAAUGGCAUUGAAUACUGCCUGGCUGGAGGUUUGGAGGGGGGACUGGAAUUCUUGGUGUAGCAGUGAAAUGCGUAGAUAUCAAGAGGAACACCAGUGGCGAAGGCGAGUCCCUGGACAACACCUGACACUGAGGCACGAAAGCCGGGGGAGCAAACAGG